CAGAGUUGCAAAACUCCCAGACCACUGUGAACCUACCCUCAACCGUUGCUUCGGCGGGCCGGCCCAGGCCGCGCCGGCCCCCAACCGGGGGCGCCCGCCGGAGGCACCCAGACCACUGAUUUUUGCAUGGCCUCUCUGAGUAACUGUACCGAAUAAGUCA
rnacentral:misc_RNA from 1 species